rnacentral:rRNA from 1 species
CCAGACUCCUACGGGAGGCAGCAGUGGGGAAUAUUGCACAAUGGGGGAAACCCUGAUGCAGCCAUGCCGCGUGUGUGAAGAAGGCCUUCGGGUUGUAAAGCACUUUCAGUAGGGAGGAAGGCUUAUCCUUAAUACGGAUGAGUACUUGACGUUACCUACAGAAGAAGCACCGGCUAAUUUCGUGCCAGCAGCCGCGGUAAUACGAAAGGUGCAAGCGUUAAUCGGAAUUACUGGGCGUAAAG